rnacentral:rRNA from 1 species
UACGUAGGGAGCAAGCGUUGUCCGGAAUCAUUGGGCGUAAAGCGCGCGUAGGCGGCCCUGUAAGUCCGUUGUGAAAGUCAAAGGCUCAACCUUUGAAAGCCGAUGGAUACUGCAGGGCUAGAGUCCGGAAGAGGCGAGUGGAAUUCCUGGUGUAGCGGUGGAAUGCGCAGAUAUCAGGAGGAAGGCCGGUGGCGAAGGCGGCGCUCUGGAACAUUUCUGACGCUGAGGCUCGAAAGCGUGGGGAGCAAACAGG